UGAUCGUUUGUCCUCUUUCAGGAGAAGAACAAAAGGUCUUAUGACAUCUAAAAGAGCUUUGGCAAGGUGGAUUAAAGAAGGCAUGUUAUUGGCAUACAGUUCCUUCAAUGUUCCUCCCCCUGUGCUAUUAAAAGCCCAAUCGUAGUGCACUGCCUCUAAUCUGGAGGGAAAGUUAACAUUUUACUUACUGUAUAUUUGUUUUUCCUUCUGAUUAGAGGCAGUGCACAUAUUCCCCAUCCUAUUUAAUAAAGUGUAUCUUGCAGUUAUUUUGGCUUGUGUAUUUACUGGGGAUGUAAGGCAAAAAGGGUUAUGUACCUAGGGAAGGAGCAGCUAGUGGUGGGAGCCAAUUAUCUUUUUAUUUUUAGGUAUGUCUGCCUUCCCUCCAGAUUAGAGAAUGCCUCGAAUCCUAAGGAAAAAGGCAUUUAUGGUAAGUAAUUUGAACUAUAAAAUGGUGCCAAUGCUAUUGGUUUACUUUUUGGUACACCAACUUUCUAAAGCUACAUGAUUGGCAAAUCCGUAAGGAUAUGUAGGUUUUCCACUCUCCAUGAUUAGGGAACAGCCAUAAUAGCAUUGCAGGACUCCAUAUAGUUGGUGUAAAAGUUUACUAAGUGCAUUUAUAUUCCUUUAGUCUUGUGUAUAUUUUAUGGGGAUUGCUGUACUUUUUCCAUACACUUUAUUUCAAUGGAGAUUGACUGAGGUGUCUUUAUGGUACGUGGGAUACACAAAACAUUAGAAUAUCGUGCAAAAGUUAAUUUAUGCUACAUAAAAGGGGAAACUGAUAUGAGAAACACAGUACGUGCAAAGCAAGAUCGUUCAAGCCGUGAUUUUGCCAUAAGUGCGAUGAUUAUGGCCUACAGCUCAUGAAAACUCCAAAUCCACAAUCUCAGUAAAUUAGAAUAUUACAUGCAAUCAAUAAAACAAGGAGUGUACAUAGAACAAUAUUGGACCUCUGAAAAGUAUAAGCAUGCAUAUGGACUCAGUACUUGGUUUGAGCCCCUUUUGCAGCAAUUACUGCCUCAAUGCGGCGUGGCAUGGAAGCUAUCAGCCUGUGGCACUGCUGAGGUGUUACAGAAGACCAGGAUGCUUCAAUAGCGGCCUUCAGCUCUUCUGCAUUGUUCGGUCUCAUGUCUCUCAUCUUUCUCUUGGCAAUGUCCCAUAGAUUCUCUAUGGGGUUCAGGUCAGGCGAGUUUGCUGGCCAAUCAAGCACAGUAAUCCCACGGUCAUUGAACCAGGCUUUUGGCAGUGUGGGCAGGUGCCAAGUCCUGCUGGAAAGUGAAGUCAGCAUCCCCAUAAAGCUUGUCUGCGGAAGGAAGCAUGAAGUGCUCCAGAAUCUCCUGGUAGAAAGCUGCGUGGACCCUGGACUUAAUGAACACCAGCUGAUGACAUGGCUCCCCAAAUCAACACAGACGGUGGAAACUUCACACUGGACUUCAAGCAUCUUGCAGUGUGUGCCUCUCCAUUCUUCCUCCAUUCUUUCCAAAUGAGAUGCAAAAGUUGCUCUCAUCAGAAAAGAGGACUUUGGACCACUGAGCAACAGACCAGGUCUGUUUUUCUUUAGCCCAGGUAAGACGCUUCUGACGUUUGCUGUUCAGGAGCGGCUUGACAAGAGGAAUACGACAUCUGAAGCCCAUGUCCAGGAUCCGUCUGUGUGUGGUGGCUCUUGAUGCACUGACUCUAGCCUCAGUCCACUACUUGUGAAAGUCCCCAACACUUUUGAAUGGCCUUUUCCUGACAAUCCUCUCCAGGCUGCGGUCAUCCCUGCUGCUUGUGCACCUUUUUCUUCCACACAACUUUCUAUUAAUGUGCUUUGUUACAGCACUUUGGGAACAUCCAACUUCCUUUGCAAUUACCUUUUGAGGUUUAAACAGCAAAAGAAUUGGAAAUAAAGUUGUAGUAACAAAAACCUACCAGUAGGUGUCACCAGAGGUUAGGAAAAAAUAUCGAAAUUGAGUCUUAAUGUCUAUUAAUAAAACUUAACUUUUAAUAUGUUAAUGCAUAAAAUAAAACAAGUGUGACAAGCAAUAUUAAAAUAGGGUCAGUAGUCCCAAAUCUGUCUGUAAGAUACCCGUACAGAUCCUAUUUACAAAGUGGAUAGAAUAGUUUAUUUAGCCAAUAUCAAUCAAAAUUGCUAAAGGAGAUAAUCAGUCCUGAGGUGCCUCCUUUAGUUAUAUGAAGCAGUUCCAAUUAUUACAGAGUUUAAUUUAGGAUGCAAUCCUCAUUGUUUUAUUUAGCAGUUACACAGCAGCAGAUAGACUUUUCUCUGUGCUGUUAAUAAAGAUCCAUUUCUCAGUCUUUGAUUUAUAAAGUAUCUGUCAGGUUGGUUCUAAAUAGACCUGAAUCUCUUCCAUAGAAUAGUGCAGACAGAUCAGAAAAAUGUAU